GACGAACGCUGGCGGCGUGCUUAACACAUGCAAGUCGAACGGUAAGGCCCUUCGGGGUACACGAGUGGCGAACGGGUGAGUAACACGUGGGUGAUCUGCCCUGCACUUCGGGAUAAGCCUGGGAAACUGGGUCUAAUACCGGAUAGGACCACUGCCUGCAUGGGUGGUGGUGGAAAGCUUUUGCGGUGUGGGAUGGGCCCGCGGCCUAUCAGCUUGUUGGUGGGGUGAUGGCCUACCAAGGCGACGACGGGUAGCCGGCCUGAGAGGGUGACCGGCCACACGGGGGCUGAGAUACGGCCCAGACUCCUACGGGAGGCAGCAGUGGGGAAUAAUGCACAAUGGGCGCAAGCCUGAUGCAGGGACGCCGCUUGGGGGAUGACGGCCUUCGGGUUGUAAACCUCUUUCAGCACCGACGAAGCGCAAGUGACGGUAGGUGCAGAAGAAGGACCGGCCAACUACGUGCCAGCAGCCGCCGUAA
rnacentral:rRNA from 1 species